UACGUAGGUGACAAGCGUUGUCCGGAUUUACUGGGCGUAAAGAGCGCGCAGGCGGUCGAUCAAGUCGAGUGUGAAAGCCCCCGGCUCAACUGGGGAGGGUCAUUCGAUACUGAUCGACUCGAAGGCAGGAGAGGGUAGUGGAAUUCCCGGUGUAGUGGUGAAAUGCGUAGAUAUCGGGAGGAACACCUGUGGCGAAAGCGGCUCUCUGGACCACAACUGACGCUGAGGCGCGAAAGCUAGGGGAGCAAACAGG
rnacentral:rRNA from 1 species